rnacentral:tRNA from 1 species
UCUAAUAUGACAGAAUUAAUGUACUGAAUUUAAGAUUCAUCAAUAAAGAUCAUACCUUUUUUUAGAA